AUGGAUGUGGUAAUAGUCUUCAGGGAGCUCCAACAUGAGGCCUCCUUACCUGGUACUGGGAGCUGUAAUUCGCCCUUUCCUGCGGUGACAACCUACCCACACGAGAAUAUACCUCUCGCAAAGGAUCUCCUUCAUCCCUCUCCAGAAUAGGAGAAGAGGAAACACAAGAAGAAAUGCCUGGUGCAGAGCCCCAAUUCCUACUUCAUGGAUGUGAAAUGCCCAGGAUGCUAUAAAAUCACCAUGGUCUUUAGCCAUGCACAAACAGUAGUUUUGUGUGUUGGCUGCUCCACUGUCCUCUGCCAGCCUACAGGAGGAAAAGCAAGGCUUACAGAAGGAUGUUCCUUCAGGAGGAAGCAGCACUGAAAGCACUCUGAAUCAAGAUGAGUGGGAAACCAUCUCAAUAAAUGCAUUUUGGAUAAA